AACAUAAUAAAGUCUAUGUUACGGCCAUAGAAUUGAUGUCGUAGGUACAUCUUAUGUUU
rnacentral:tRNA from 3 species